ensembl:lncRNA
CAAAAUUAAGAUAAUAAAUGUUUCAAUUCAUAAUGUUAAUGUAAAAAAAAAAGUAAGUAUAAAAAGUACAUAUUUACAUAUUCACUUAACACUUUACAAUAAUGUCCCAUUAGGUAAUGUUGGUUACAAAUAUUUCAUACAGAAAAGCAAUGCAUAAACAUACAAAUGAAUGGUCAUUGGAAAAAAAAAUAUAUCACAUUUUUAAUACAAAAAACAAGUUUUGAAAAAUGGACACUUGUUUAAGGCAGACCAUUCCAAAGAGAUGGGAUGAUUUCACAUAUAUUAGUUAAUAAAGUCUUCACUUUCUUUAUCUUCUCUUAACACCAGCUUUAUUUCAGAGGGAGGUUAGAGGGGUUUCCUCCUGAGACCGGAGAGGAACAGAUUGUGGAAUUACUAUUGGGCUACAGGAGUACUGGACCUACAGGCUUCUGGCACAUGAAGAGUCACUGGAGCAUAUGUCGCCAGCACGAUUCAUUCAUUUAAAUUUAUGGAGUGGAAGUGGGCCAGGUAGCGCACCACAGUGACUGUCAACAGCACCUCCAUCUUCACAAACUUCACGUACACCGGUCCCAUCAUCCUACCAUAUGUCCCGCGAAACACAAUUUCUAAUGGACAAGGACAGCUGUAUCAGGCCCCUAAAAUCAUUCCCACCUCUCGCCCCACUGAAGCUAUGGCCCUGCAAACACAAUGGGUCAGAGUUUUAUUUCAGCAGGUUGUCACUCAGGUAAUCAAGUGGGACCUUUCACUGCAAACCAAUCAGUCUCAGUGAGCCCUAUUUGAGCAGCAUUAGCCAUCCUUCCCCUGAGCAUUACAUCAUUCUGAGGGACAACCGAGCCAAUCAACAGCCUGGCAGGAUUACACAGCAUAUGGGCAUGUCCUGACUGUGUUGGAGAACUAAACAGCAUGAACAUUCUGCUUAACAUCUCUUAUUUCUCACUGGAAGAAGAAAGUCAUACAGGGUUGGAACAACAUGAAGUUCAACUGUCAGUGGUGAAAUGGUGUGUGGGUGUCCGACGCAGUAAUGGGUCAAUCACUCCGAAAAAAGACUUCUUCUUCUGUCUGAGCACAGAGGAGAACUGUUCUCACCUAAUGUUGUGAAGUGUGCCAUUGUUUCAGUUUCCAGUGGCCAGCUGUUUCACUUAUAAGGCAGGAAACAAGGGAGAAACUGGGUAACGAGCACAUAUGAAGGGAAAACAACACAAAACAGUCCAUAAUCCUGACACAGCCCUGGAGGCUGGUGCAGGACCGGGACAAGGAAGGCCUCCCAGGCGGAUCAGGGAGCUCGGGAAGCCAGGUGGAUCAUGGAGUUUAGGGGACCAUGGCGGAACAGGAGGAGGGAGGAGCAGGGGAGAUGACAGGAGGGUCUUGGAGAAUGCCUCACCAGGUGGGACCCAGGCCACAGCCAUAAUGGUGACCCACGGUGGAGCCGACGGAGGGAGGAGCCAUGGAGGAGGAAGGGCUGACGACUUCAGGGGGCGACCAACAGUGGAGCAGGUGGCAGAGGAGCCAGAGGCGGAGAUGGAGAGCCGAUGAGCCAGGUUGAUGGGGAGGAUCCGGAGGGCAGAGGACUGAGGUGAAGCCGAGGGGAUGAAGGAGCCUGACGGAGCAGGAGGGAUGAAAGGAUGAGGCGCAGCCGAGGAAGUGAAGUCCCAAGGUGCAGGAUGGUCGAUGCCAGACCAAGUUGAAGCUGGAUGGACGAGGGAGCCUGGCGAAGCUAAUGGACUGCCAGGCCACAGCGGGGAGGAGGGAGCUAGGAGCCAUGGUUGAG